AGUAUAUUGUAAACAUAACUUUAUAUGCACUAAGAAACCAAAAUAUUCAUUUGACCCACUUUAUUUUGAUAUUCACUUUAUUGCAGUGGUCUGCAACCAAACCUUCAAUAUCUCCAAGUGGUGCCUGGAAUCAAUCAUAAAUAAAUGAUCUAAGUAGACUGAGUUAUUCUGAUGCGAGGGAGAAGUAAACAGGCAAAUGGCCAAAUUGGAAGAUUGGAAGAUGGAAUGUGAGUUUACAUUCGCAGUUCAUGGAUUCCAGACAACUGGCAUAGAUGGGCAUAUACAGGUGAGGUUCCUGGAAGAUUGGGCUUUCAUUGAACCAGUACAACUUCUGACCCUAAAGGAACUACACCAGCUUCAACCAAGGAUAACAGGACGGAGAUGCUAAAGAAUUGACAUCUCCCUAUACUGGAAGCAAACCAUCUGCUCACUAGCAGUCCAAAAAAGUACUCAAAAAGAAGCAAUGGUGUGUAUUAUGGUAAGAGUUUCAAGAAGGUAUAAACAAGACUGUCCUGAGAAACUGUUGGUUUCCUGUCCUGAACGUGAAGGUCUUCCCAUUUUUGACCAUAUGCUUAAUGAUUAGGUGAAAUGGGUUAAAAAACAAAUAAAUAAAAGGGAAAAGAACUAAUAAAUGUUAUC
rnacentral:lncRNA from 1 species